rnacentral:rRNA from 1 species
GACGAACGCUGGCGGCGUGCUUAACAAAUGCAAGUCGAACGAAGUGGCGAACGGGUGAGUAACGCGUCAUCAACCUGCCCUUCAGAGGGGGACAACAGUUGGAAACGACUGCUAAUACCGCCUACUAAAGGAGCGGCUUGCGUCUGAUUGGCUAGUUGUAGGGGUAACGGCCCACCAAGGCGAUGAACAGUAGCCGGUUUGCAAGAACGAACGGCCAGAUUGGGAAUGGGACACGGCCCAGACGCCCACGGGAGGCAGCAGUGGGGCAUAUUCGGCAAUGGACGAAAGUCUGACGGAGCAACGCUGCGUGAGGGAUGACGGCCUUCGGGUGGUAAAGCUCUGUUAAUCGGAACGCGAUAACGGAAUAGAAAGCCACGGCUAACUACGUGCCAGCCGCAGCGGUAAUUU